GAGCCUCUAGGAUGAACUAGUCCCUUAUAUGGAGUCCCCAUCUGCUGUGUCAGCUAUCUCCAUUAUAUUAGUUUUUAGCUGAUCAUUAUGGAUAGGACAUCU